rnacentral:rRNA from 1 species
GACGAACGCUGGCGGCGUGCUUAACACAUGCAAGUCGAACGCUGAAGACCUGGCUUUUGUUGGGUUGGAUGAGUGGCGAACGGGUGAGUAACACGUGAGUAACCUGCCCUCUUCUUUGGGAUAACGCCCGGAAACGGGUGCUAAUACUGGAUAUUCACUGAUCUUCGCAUGGGGGUUGGUGGAAAGGUUUGUUCUGGUGGGGGAUGGGCUCGCGGCCUAUCAGCUUGUUGGUGGGGUGAUGGCCUACCAAGGCUUUGACGGGUAGCCGGCCUGAGAGGGUGACCGGUCACAUUGGGACUGAGCUACGGCCCAGACUCAUACGGGAGGCAGCAGUGGGGAAUAUUGCACAAUGGGCGAAAGCCUGAUGCAGCGACGCCGCGUGAGGGAUGGAGGCCUUCGGGUUGUAAACCUCUUUCGCUCAUGGUCAAGCCGCAACUGUGGGUUGUGGUGAGGGUAGUGGGUAAAGAAGCGCCGGCUAACUACGUG